UAUAGAAAGCCAAUCAAUCAUUCUGGUUUCCCAGCAGUGUUCCAACUUUAUCAGUUUCAUUAAGAAAAGGUCCUCACUUUUUUAGCUUCCCCUAAUCAUGAUAUCAGAUUCCUCAUUAAAGAUUUUCAUUUCAUCUGUCAUUGUCAUUUUUUUAAUUGCUUGUCAAUCAUCUGCAUAAUUGUUAAUUGCACUUCACCAAAGCCACCCAGCAAAUCUGCAACUCUAAUGGGCCCCACCAACUUUACCUCUCUCUUUUCUUUUUCCUUUUAUUGUCUCCUCUCCUUCCCAUUCCAAUUCUUGCAACACUUCUCUCUCUGUUUCUAGAAUGGAGCAUGCUGGAUGGUUUAUGAGAAUUAUUCAAGGAGAAAGGAACUUCUGAUUCUUGAGGAUUAGUUAUUGUAGCCUAAGUAUUUUGAUGCUAAUUCCUAGAUUCCAUCAAGAUCUGAUUUUUAUGGCUCGCUCCAUCUAAAUUCAGGUGAAUCAGCAGCAGGUAAAUGGACUUGGUGGCUGUAAGAUGCCUUAUUAACAGUGUAUCUCGGUUUAUUCAUUUAGUAACAUGUUCUCCUGUGAAGGCUAUGCCUGCUCAGAAUGACUAUGUGCAUCUGAGCUGUCUACUAAAGCAUUUGAAACCAUUACUUGACAAUGUUGUUGAUGGAAAAGUACCUUCAGAUGAAUUUCUUUGUAACGAGUAUGAACAAUUGGAUGUAGCAGUCAAUGAGGCUAGGGAAUUUUUCGAGAAAUGGUCUCCAAAGAUGAGCAAGAUUCUUUGUGUUGUGCGAAGUGGCCUGUUGGUGCAUAACAUAGAAAGCACCUCGCUAAAGAUUACACAAGUUCUAUCUGGAUUCUUGCAAUCAUCGGCAUAUACCAAUAGCCUAUGUGAUUCUCAGAAAUUUCAGCAUUUGAAGCUAUCAAACCAUGUAAACGAGGUGCUUCAAAAGAUAACAGAAGGAAACAUCCCUUCUUCUGAGCAUCUUAUUCCAAUAAUUGAGUCACUUAACUUGGCAUCAAAUCAGGAACUGCUGAAUGAGUGUAUUGCCCUGGAGAAGGAGAGAAUGAAGGCUGAAGACCAUAAACUGAAUCAGAGCUUAGAAGAAAUCAACCGUAUCAUUGUCCUAUUGUCUCAUAUUCGUGAUAUAAUGGUUAAACUUGACAACUUCAAGUCCAUAGAUGGAAUUAAGAUCCCUCCCUACUUCCUUUGUCCUUUAUCUGUAGAACUAAUGAUGGAUCCAGUGAUUGUGGCUUCUGGGCAAACCUAUGAGAGGACUUCCAUUAAAAAAUGGCUUGAUCAUGGAUUAAACAUAUGCCCUAAAACUCGUCAAAAACUGUCCCACACUAACCUUAUCCCCAACUAUACAGUUAAGGUUCUGAUAGCAAAUUGGUGUGAGGAGAAGAACAUAAAGCUUCCUAACCCUCCUGACUGCCUUAAGUGUGGAUCGGUUACACCUCAGUCAGAGAAUGUCAAUCAUGUGGAUAAUGUUCAAUGUAAUUUUGAAGGUGGGAAUUCAAUAUUAGAAUCUUCAGUUGACGCCCGAAAUGAUUCUGAAAAGAAGGUUGAUGGUUCUAAUGGAUUCUGUUAUGAGGAGUUGCAUGUGUGUCAAGCUGAAAAGUCUGACCACUCCUCGACACACUCGUACGUCCACAGUAGGAGUGAAUCAACAUCAAGUGCUGUCUCUAGCAUCGAGUACCUGCCUUCAGCAUUACCUGAUUUAUCCAGGAUCUCAAAUAAUCAUGAUAGUGUGAGUGCUAGAUUAGGAGAUACAGUGUCUGAUUGCUCCCUAUCUGCUUUGAAUAAGAAUCCUGAAUCUUCUCCUUCUUUGACUGGAAGACACUACCACAGUUCCAAGACAAUGGCUGAAAUGGCUGUGAAUGGAAAUCACAAUCCAUCUAGAUCACUAUCACUUCCUUCUGAGGCUAGAUGCAAUGAUCUAACCUCAACUUCUCAUGUUGAAAAGCUCAUUAAAGAUUUGAAGAGUCAGUCAACUGAAUUGCAAACUGCAGCUACAGCAGAAUUGCGGUUUUUGGCGAAAUAUAACACUGAAAAUCGUAUUAUCAUUGGAAAUUGUGGGGCUAUUGCACCAUUGAUUUCAUUGCUACAUUCGGAUGUGAAGACAACCCAAGAGCAUGCUGUCACUGCACUUCUAAAUUUAUCAAUUAAUGAGAAGAUUAAAGCCCUAAUUGCAGAAGAAGGAGCCCUUGAUCCACUAAUACAUGUUUUGAGGAUUGGAAAUGCUGGAGCAAAAGAGAAUGCUGCUGCAUGCCUUUUCAGUCUCUCAGUUUUGGAGGAGUACAGGACAAAGAUUGGUCAUUCAGCUGCAGUUAGAGCAUUAGUUGAUCUUCUAGGAUCAGGUACUGUCAGAGGGAAGAAAGAUGCUGCUACUGCCUUGUUUAACCUGUCUAUUCUUCAUGAAAACAAAGCUCGUAUAGUCCAGGCUGGAGCUGUUAAAUAUCUUGUGGAGUUGCUGGACCCUGAUAGAGAAAUGGUUGAUAAAGCUGUUGCUCUUCUUGCAAAUUUGUCUACCAUAACAGAGGGAUGCUCAGCCAUUGCUCGAGAAGGGGGAAUACCCUCAUUGGUCGAGAUUGUGGACAUAGGCUCUCAGCGGGGAAAGGAGAAUGCUGCUUCAAUCCUGUUGCAACUGUGCAUAAACAGUCCAAGGUAUUGUCGGCUUGUUUUGCAGGAAGGAGCUGUCCCGCCUCUUGUUGCAUUGUCUCAGUCUGGCACUCCAAGAGCAAAAGAAAAGGCACAGCAGCUUCUGAGCCACUUCCGCAGUCAGCGGGAAGGUGCUAUGGGUAGAGGAAAGUCAUGAGGUGAAAAGUUUGAACUAAUUUAUACUUGUUCCCUCCGCAGUUUUAUCAAUAAUAAAUGUAAAAGGCAUCAACUUUAGUGCUCUUUCAAACAUGAUACUACUUUGAAGCAUCCAAGAGUAGGGAGCGAAGUUCAAAAAUAGAUGUCUCAGAUUGGCAGCAAUGUGCACCUUUGUUCAACAAAAGCGGCUUAGAAUUAGAAAAAGUAGUGCAUUUGUGUUAAUGUAAAGUAAGACAUAAGAGGUGUGUUUUGGUUACGUUGUAGUUUGGAGAUUAUUGACACUUGCAUCAAAAUCCUAUCUGUUUCCUAGGAAGCAGGGAACCUAAAUCGUACGGAUACGGACUCAUAACUGCAGGGUCUUCGCUGGAGUGCUUCCGCCCAUCCACCAUUUAGCGCCCUGUCUGCCAUGCCAUGCAAGACUUGCUAAAUAAUAUUAAUUGGAUA